rnacentral:rRNA from 1 species
GGUGCAUGGCUGUCGUCAGCUCGUGUCGUGAGAUGUUGGGUUAAGUCCCGCAACGAGCGCAACCCUUGUCCCGUGUUGCCAGCAGGCCCUUGUGGUGCUGGGGACUCACGGGAGACCGCCGGGGUCAACUCGGAGGAAGGUGGGGACGACGUCAAGUCAUCAUGCCCCUUAUGUCUUGGGCUGCACACGUGCUACAAUGGCCGGUACAAAGAGCUGCGAUACCGUGAGGUGGAGCGAAUCUCAAAAAGCCGGUCUCAGUUCGGAUUGGGGUCUGCAACUCGACCCCAUGAAGUCGGAGUCGCUAGUAAUCGCAGAUCAGCAUUGCUGCGGUGAAUACGUUCCCGGGUCUUGUACACACCGCCU